UUUUGAAUAACCAUACCAUAAACAGAAUCUACGAAAACUAUUGCGGUAAAUAGAUGCCGUUACGUCGGCGGCCUUUACAGUCUUACAAUAUAUAAAGAAGGCAUCAGUGAAAUCAUAAGGAAGACUAGUGUGAAAACAUCACCAUGAAAAUCUAGUCCACUAACUGCAAAUUUAAUUAAUUUUUGCAAAUCAAAAGCAACGCUAGCAGAGAACGACGAAAUCAGCAGCACCGGUAAGUUUGACGGCAGCGGCGUCACUCACAGCGUCAGGAACCACGUGGACAAACGCAAAAACCAACACAAUGUCAAACAGCAGCGCUGCUUCCAAGAGCAGCCUCCACAUCUGCAACACCGUUCGUGUUUAGCUGUCUCUUCGGCUUU